rnacentral:rRNA from 1 species
UACGUAGGGUGCGAGCGUUGUCCGGAAUUACUGGGCGUAAAGAGCUCGUAGGUGGUUUGUCGCGUUGUUCGUGAAAACUCACAGCUCAACUGUGGGCGUGCGGGCGAUACGGGCAGACUGGAGUACUGCAGGGGAGACUGGAAUUCCUGGUGUAGCGGUGAAAUGCGCAGAUAUCAGGAGGAACACCGGUGGCGAAGGCGGGUCUCUGGGGCCGAUACUGACGCUGAGGAGCGAAAGCGUGGGGAGCAAACAGG